rnacentral:tRNA from 1 species
GGGUCUAUAGCUUAAAGGUUAGAGCGUACGCGUGUGAUAUGUUGGUAUUUAAGUAUUAUUAUAUUUUUAUAUC